UACGUAGGGGGCAAGCGUUGUCCGGAUUUAUUGGGCGUAAAGAGCGUGUAGGCGGCCUGAAAGGUCAGCUGUGAAAACUCGAGGCUCAACCUCGAGACGUCGGUUGAAACCAUCUGGCUAGAGUCCGGAAGAGGAGUGUGGAAUUCCUGGUGUAGCGGUGAAAUGCGCAGAUAUCAGGAAGAACACCUAUGGCGAAGGCAGCUCUCUGGGACGGUACUGACGCUGAGACGCGAAAGCGUGGGGAGCGAACAGG
rnacentral:rRNA from 1 species